UAGGUGAUGGGGAUUAAGGAGUGCACCUACUGUGAUAAGCACUGGGUGAUGUAUGGAGUUAUUGAAUCACUUUGUUGUACACCUAAAACUAAUAUAACACUGUAUAUGUUGACUAUGCUGGAAUUAAAAUAAAAACUUAAGACCGCUGGGACCAUUGAUGACUGAGUCGGUGUUGCAGCUUUUGUAUUACUCCCUGGGCACUGCAAGCAGGCCAGGCAUCGUAUCACCUUACAGGUGGUAUGGAGGAGAAAACCAAGGUGUGUGUUGGUAAUCUGGGGACCAGUGUCAGCAGAGGAGAGUUAGAAAGGGCUUUUAGUUAUUAUGGUCCCUUAAGAACUGUGUGGAUUGUGAAAAGUCCUCUAGGAUUUGCCUUUGUGGAACCUGAAGAUCCUAGACAUGCAGAAGAUGCAGUUUGAGGCCUGGAUGGGAGAGUGAUUUGUGGUUCCUGAGUGAGAGUUGAAUUAUCAACAGGCAUGCUUUGGAGAUCUGGUUUUGAUAGACCACCUGCCCAACGUUCCUUUGAUCCCAAUGAUAAAUGCUAUGAGUGUGGCGAAAAGGGACAUUAUGCUUAUGAUUGUCAUCAUUACAGCCAGCAGAGGAGAAGCAGGUCACAGUGUAGAUCACAUUUAAGAUCCAGAGGCAGGCGAUACUCUUGCUCAUGUAGCAGGAGCAGGAGGUCAAGAUCAGCAUCUCCUCAACCAUCAAGAUCUGUGUCUCUUUCAAGAUCCGCUUCACCCAGAAGAUCUAGGUCUGGUUCUAUAAAAGGUUCAAGAUGCCCGUCGAGGUCAAGGUCAAGAUCCAGGUCUGUUUCAUUACUAAGAAGCAGCCAAAGUUCAAAUAUCCCAUCUCCAAAAAGAAGUCAUUCCCCAUCAGGAAGUCCACAAAGAAGUGCAAGACCUGAAAGAGUGAAGUUCUCAAGUUCACCUUUUAGGGAAGAGUUAUUUCGUUUACAUUAUUAUAAGGGAUUUGUGAUGUCUGUAAAGCGUAACUUAGGAAGGUUAUUUCAAUCAUCCAGUCAAAAUGGAUCUGGAUUAUAACUGUAAAUUCACAGCAAUAAGAUAAUAUAAAUUUUUGUUAAAUGUAUUAACAUCCUGGUGGUCUGAAAAUGUGGGUUUUUAUUUGGCACAUUUAAAUAAAAUGUUUCUAGCUAGAAAAAAAUAAAUAUAAAUUAAAACUUAAUAAAAGAGGGGUGCCUGGGUGGCUCAGUUGGUUAAGUGUCUGCCUUCAGCUUAGGUCAUGAUCUCAGGAGUCGGCCUCUCCCUCUCCUUUGCCCCUCCCCCCCACUCCUGCUCAUUCACUCUCUCUCUCGCUCUCUCUCAAAUAAAUAAAAUGUUUAAAAAAAAAAGUAAUUAAAAAACCAGCAGAUUAGAGAAAAAAAAAAAAAAGAAACCAACCCUGCCGACAUCUUGAUCUGAGAC